rnacentral:misc_RNA from 1 species
AAAGUCGUAACAAGGUAACCGUAGGUGAACCUGCGGUUGGAUCAUUAUUGAUGUUAGUGUGUUGGCUCCGUCAGGAGUCAAUGCACUGACUCUACGCUGAGCACUAUCUUUGUUAGGUGAAUUAUCGCUGAAAGAGGUAGGGUGAAGCAGUAGAGUAUCGAGGAAGGGCUUCGGCCUCUACUCACAACCAAACCUGUGAACUGUUGAGGGAAACUUUCCCUUCAAUCUUAACUUACAACAAUAAUUUUAAACCAAGUUUAUCUUAUCAUAAGAAUUAAACAACUUUUGACAACGGAUCUCUUGGCUCUC